CACGUAGGGUGCGAGCGUUGUCCGGAAUUAUUGGGCGUAAAGAGCUCGUAGGCGGUUUGUCGCGUCUGCUGUGAAAACUCGGGGCUUAACUCCGGGCCUGCAGUGGGUACGGGCAGACUAGAGUGCGGUAGGGGAGACUGGAAUUCCUGGUGUAGCGGUGGAAUGCGCAGAUAUCAGGAGGAACACCGGUGGCGAAGGCGGGUCUCUGGGCAGUAACUGACGUGAGGAGCGAAAAGCGUGGGGGAGCGAACAGG
rnacentral:rRNA from 1 species